ensembl:lncRNA
GGAAAUGUCGGUUAUUUGGGGGUUCGCACCGUCCUGGGCCACUCUGUUCGUGAUAUGACCUUUCACUCUCUACAGGCUUUGCAGUAAUCGAGAAGAGAGAGCAGUGUGAUGUGGCCCCGACUCUCAUCCAGGAUCAUCUGUGAGAACCCCUGAAGAGGACGCAAAGGAAGGACACCACGUUUUGUGAGCAAACGAAUGUGGAGACAGGACGCCAAAAGUGAACUCUGCUCACGCUGAUGGAAACAAUGGAAUAAAAUUGGAAAAGCAGCAUGGACGUGGAAUAAAGGAUAUCUCAGAGGCAGGCCAAGGGCUUUGGAUGUUCUGCC